rnacentral:rRNA from 1 species
UGGGGAAUUUUGCACAAUGGGGGAAACCCUGAUGCAGCGACGCCGCGUGAUUUAGAAGGCCUUCGGGUUGUAAAAAUCUUUUGUAUGGGAAGAAAAUGACAGUACCAUACGAAUAAGGACCGGCUAAUUACGUGCCAGCAGCCGCGGUAAUACGUAAGGUCCGAGCGUUGUCCGGAAUCAUUGGGCGGAAAGGGUACGUAGGCGGAUAAGAAAGUUAGAAGUGAAAUCCUAUAGCUCAACUAUAGUAAGCUUUUAAAACUGCUCAUCUUGAGGUAUGGAAGGGCAAGUGGAAUUCCUAGUGUAGCGGUGAAAUGCGCAGAUAUUAGGAGGCAUACCGGUGGCGAAGGCGACUUUCUGGCCAGAUACUGACGCGGAGGUACGAAAGCGUGGGUAGCAAACAGG